UUUCCUUGUGGUCAGCCGUAGGAAGCGUCUGGGAUACUAGGAAGCUGUAGGAGUAGUUGGAGAGGUGAGAUACGCCGUCGCCGUGCUUGGCCACGGCCGACCGUCAGUUCCGCCGCCCGCCGCCGUGGAGAAGGUAGCUCCGGCAAUCUCCCGGGGAGCUGCCGCCGCGCACGGGUGCGCUAUGGCAUGGAGAUGCUUUCCCAGCCUGGCCCCAUUGCCGGUAGGGCGCCGGCCGGCGAGCUGCGCCGCCCCCUGUCAUGCUCGGUUUUGGCACGAGGAGGAAGACGGUGUUGGCGCCGGGGGCCCGCCCGUUAGAAGGAGAAGGGAGGGGGGCAAAGAAAGGCCGGCCGGGGUGCCGUGGGAGUGUGAUGGGCCGGGGUCCAGCAGGCCGACGGGCCGGUUUGGCAGGUCGGAUGCCGCGAGAAAGAAAGGAAAAGAAGAUGGGCCGUUGGACCGAAACAAGAAAAGGAAAGGAGGAGAGGGAAAGAAAUCGGCCCAGUAGGCCCGACAGAAGAGAAAUGGCCGGCGGGUAGAGGGAAUAGGAGAAGAAGGUGGACCCGAGUCGCGGGCCCAGCGCGAGUGAGUGAGGGUAGAGAGGGGGUGAGUGAGCAAAGUAAGGCCGGGGGUUUUGGGGAAAAAAUUAGAUUUUCUUUUGUUAGAUUAAUAGCUUAAAUUCGUUUAUCACCUUUUAAAUCACAAAAAUUUCUAGGAGUGUCAAAAAUUAGUGAAACCAAUUUUGUUAGGAUUGUUUUAUUUUCCUUUAUGCAUUAAAAUUCUUAUACCCUAGGAAAAUUAAUAAAAACUUAGGUAUUUGUUUAAUGCCUUUUCAUUAAGGUAUUUAAAUAAAUACUUAAUCUUUAUUAAAUGUAUAAAAUAUGGAAUAAUGUUUCCAUAUUCACAAACUAUUAUUAACCCAUAGGAAAUUAGGUUUGAGACUAGAAAAUAA
rnacentral:lncRNA from 1 species